AGGACGAACGCUGGCGGCGUGCUUAACACAUGCAAGUCAAGGGGGCCCAGCAAUGGGCAACCGGCGAACGGGUGCGUAACACGUGAGCGACCUACCGAAAUGUGGGGGAUAGCCGGCCUAACGGCCGAGUAAUACCGCAUACGCUCUCGAUGAGGCAUUUCAUUGAGAGGAAACCUACGGGACAUUUCGAGGGGCUCGCGGCCUAUCAGCUAGUUGGAGAGGUAACGGCUCACCAAGGCAACGACGGGUAGC
rnacentral:rRNA from 1 species